rnacentral:lncRNA from 1 species
CAAAAAAUAGCUACUUCCGUUAAACAAAAGGUCACUUCCGGUUGGAUUUUACAAGGUCACAUUGCUUGCAACUUAUUGCAAAAAGUCCCAUGUCUUUAUCAUGUAUACAUAUGAGGUAAAAGCAAAGGUCAAAAUCUAGAACGUUAAUUUUGCCUAUGACCUUGAGCUCAAUUUCAAGGUCAACAACCAAGGACCUCAAAUCAAAAGACCCUAGGCCUCUACUGUACAUUGUUAAUGAGUAAUAUUACCAUACAACUAAUAUAAGAUAUAAAAGGGGGAAAAACGCACAUCAAAUGUUUACGUUACCCUUUUAACUAAAAUUUACCUGUUACGACAUGUCGCAACUCACAAUUGUGUGAAAAUAUUUUGUUGAUAUCUUAUAUGAUUGCUGAAAAUAAGAGAUAACAAGCCAAAAUCAAAAUUUUGAACAUGACCUUGACCUUUGACCUUGACCUCAUUUUUUUUUUUUGGACAAAGGACCUCAAAUAAAAAGACCCUAGGCCUCUAUCACUUAUGGUUUUCCAGUUUUAAAUACAUUUCAAAAUUUCAAAUACAAAAGGGGAAAUAACUCUCAUAUGGAAUCUCUAUACGGCUUCGGUCAAAAUAAAACAGAACAUCCUGAGGACAUAACAAGCAAUUUGGAAAAAUAAAUUUGUCGGUUUCUUAUACGGUUGCGAAGCCUUAGAGAUAACAAGAAAAACAGUGUUCGGGGAGAUAACUCUUAUAUGGUAAAGUAUUCGGUUAAGCAGAGUUGGUUUCAAAAGCGUAUAAACUGUUCGAUAUCAUAUUCCAAAUUUCUAAGCGACAUCUUGCGAAACAAAAAAACAGCGAAGGGAAAAAAUUUAGGCGGAAGAAAAAAAAAAAUAAUCAGAAGAAAAGCAAUAGGUCUUUCCACGGAAAAGUGGAAAGACCUAAUAAUCAGAAGAAAUCCAAUAGGUCUUUCCACGGAAAAGUGGAAAGACCUAAUUAUCACAAACAA